UGAGGAAUAUUGGACAAUGGGCGCAAGCCUGAUCCAGCCAUGCCGCGUGAGUGACGAAGGUCUUCGGAUUGUAAGGCUCUUUUUGGCGGGGACGAUAAUGACGGUACCCGCAGAAUAAGCCCCGGCUAACUUCGUGCCAGCAGCCGCGGUAAUACGAAGGGGGCUAGCGUUGUUCGGAAUCACUGGGCGUAAAGCGCACGUAGGCGGACUUAUAAGUCAGGGGUGAAAUCCCGGGGCUCAACCUCGGAACUGCCUCUGAUACUGUGAGUCUCGAGACCGGAAGAGGUGAGUGGAAUUCCUAGUGUAGAGGUGAAAUUCGUAGAUAUUAGGAAGAACACCGGUGGCGAAGGCGGCCCACUGGCUCGGUACUGACACUGAGGUGCGAAAGCGUGGGGAGCAAACAGGAUUAGAUACCCGUAGUCCCUGAGCGGGCUGGCAAGGCGCAU
rnacentral:rRNA from 1 species